UAGCCAACCCCAUAAAUCUGUUCUCAGUUCGGAUCGCAGUCUGCAACUCGACUGCGUGAAGCUGGAAUCGCUAGUAAUCGCGGAUCAGCAUGCCGCGGUGAAUACGUUCCCGGGCCUUGUACACACCGCCCGUCAGGACCACGAGAGUUUGCAACACCCGAAGUCGGUGAGGUAACCUUUAUGGAGCCAGCCGCCGAACG
rnacentral:rRNA from 1 species